CGGGAGAGGUGGCUGAGUGGUCGAAAGCGGCAGAUUGCUAAUCUGUUGAUGGAAUCGUAAGGUCCAUCCGAGGGUUCGAAUCCCUCCUUCUCCGU
rnacentral:tRNA from 1 species